CAGAUAGAGGUUGCGUGUUUCAUGAGUAAUUGACCGGAUGUAUUCAGGUACAGCGGAAGGCCAGGGAAAGGGGAAAACGCCGAAAGGAUACAGAGCCUGAACCUGUAUGCUUGGGCACAGGGUGAAUAAUCAUGUGACUGCCAUCGAUGAGAUGGAGCGCUAUCGA
rnacentral:ncRNA from 1 species